rnacentral:rRNA from 1 species
GACGAACGCUGGCGGCGUGCUUAACACAUGCAAGUCGAACGAAGAGCGAUGGAAGCUUGCUUCUAUCAAUCUUAGUGGCGAACGGGUGAGUAACGCGUAAGCAACCUGCCCUUCAGAGGGGGACAACAGUUGGAAACGACUGCUAAUACCACAUACGAUCUGACCUCGGCAUCGAGGAGAGAUGAAAGGUGGCCUCUACAUGUAAGCUAUCACUGAAGGAGGGGACUGCGUUUGAUUAGCUAGUUGGAGGGGUAACGGCCGACCAAGGCGAUGAUCAGUAGCCGGCCUGCGAGGAUGCACGGCAAAGUUGGGACUGGGACACGGCCCAGCCUCCUACGGGUGGCAGCAGUGGGGGAUCUUCCGCAAUGGACGAAAGUCUGACGGAGCAACGCCGCGUGAGUGAUGACGGCCUUCGGGUUGUAAAGCUCUGUUAAUCGGGACGAAAGGCCUUUUUGCGAAUAGUGAGAAGGAUUGACGGUACCGGAAGAGAAAGCCACGGCUAACUACGUG